rnacentral:rRNA from 1 species
GAUCCUGGCUCAGAUUGAACGCUGGCGGCGUGCUUAACACAUGCAAGUCGAACGCGAAAGGGGCUUCGGCCCCGAGUAGAGUGGCGCACGGGUGAGUAACGCGUGGAUAAUCUGCCCCUGCAACUGGAAUAGCGACUGGAAACGGUCGAUAAUACCGGAUACGCCCUUGUUGAACUAUGAGGGGAAAGGAGACCUCUGCUUGCAAGUUUCCGUGCAGGGAUGAGUCCGCGUCCCAUUAGCUUGUUGGCGGGGUAACGGCCCACCAAGGCGACGAUGGGUAGCCGAUUUGAGAGGAUGAUCGGCCACAUUGGAACUGAAACACGGUCCAAACUCCUACGGGAGGCAGCAGUGGGGAAUAUUGCGCAAUGGGCGAAAGCCUGACGCAGCGACGCCGCGUGAGGGAUGAAGGUCUUCGGAUCGUAAACCUCUGUCAGAAGGGAAAAAGGUGCAGGGUGCCAAUCAGCCCUGCAUUGAUGGUACCUUCAGAGGAAGCACCGGCUAACUCCGUGCCAGCAGCCGCGGUAAUACGGAGGGUGCAAGCGUUAAUCGGAAUUACUGGGCGUAAAGCGCACGUAGGUUGUCCUGUAAGUCAGGGGUGAAAGCCCGCGGCUCAACUGCGGAACUGCCCUUGAUACUGCAGGACUUGGAUCCGGGAGAGGUCAGCGGAAUUCCAGGUGUAGGAGUGAAAUCCGUAGAUAUCUGGAGGAACAUCAGUGGCGAAGGCGGCUGACUGGACCGGCAUUGACGCUGAGGUGCGAAAGCGUGGGUAGCAAACAGGAUUAGAUACCCUGGUAGUCCACGCUGUAAACGAUGGAUGCUAAGUGUCGGGGCGCCAGCUUCGGUGCCGCAGCUUACGCAUUAAGCAUCCCGCCUGGGGAGUACGGUCGCAAAGCUGAAACUCAAAAAAAAUGAAGGGGGGCCUGCCAAACCGUGG